rnacentral:rRNA from 1 species
UACAGAGGGUGCAAGCGUUGCUCGGAAUUAUUGGGCGUAAAGGGCAGGUAGGUGGUCUCGUUUGUCGGGGGUGAAAGCCCUGGGCUUAACCCAGGAAGUGCCCUCGAAACGGCGAGACUGGAGUACUGGAGAGGGUCGUGGAAUUCCCGGUGUAGCGGUGAAAUGCGCAGAUAUCAGGAGGAACACCGGUGGCGAAGGCGGCAUCCUGGACCGGCAUUGACGCUGAGGCGCGAAAGCCAGGGGAGCAAACGGG